AAAGUCGUAACAAGGUUUCCGUAGGUGAACCUGCGGAAGGAUCAUUACAAAAGUUUGAAACUCCUUUAAUGUGGUUAUAUUUGUUGCGCUCUGUGGGCAGGCUCUUCGUGAGCUAGCUCAAUCUUAAGGAGCAAUGCAGGUAUAGCCAUGUUAUAGCGAGGUUCAUAUAACACUUUUAUUAACCACUUUGUGAACCCGUUUGUAUCUAACCAAUGCUAUAAAAGAAUCCUUAUAUCAACCUAUUGAUCUUUAAAGAGAUUGAUUAAUUUAAAACAACUUUUGGCAACGGAUCUCUUGGCUCUC
rnacentral:misc_RNA from 1 species